GCUUGGCUAACUCUGGGCUCCCUCUAACUCUGAAACGGCUACGACUGCUAAACACCUCGGUUCCUCGAGUCCAAUCCUACAAUGGAGGACGCAAAUGAGGCACCAAACAUACGCUAUCAUAACUCUACUCAACUCUUAAACAACUCCCCAAAACCCCUCUAAAAGCACAUGAAACAAACACAUAAAGCAUGCAAAGGAAGCCUGGACAGGACACUUUCGGCGGCAGGUUCGGCGGCCGAAUGUCCUCUCCAGAGACGAAACUCAUGCAUGUUCGGCGGCUCCUUCGGCGGCCGAAAGUCUUGUCCAGAGACGAACCUCACACACUUUCGGCGGCCGAACUCCCUCUUUCGGCGGCCGAAAGUCCUUUUCUAAACCGAAAGCCUAGCUUUCGGGGGCAGGUUUAGGCAGCCAAAACCACCUCCUUAGCACUUUCGGCGGCCGAACCCUUCUUCGGCGGCCGAAGCUGGGUUCUCCAGUUAGGCAGAACCUCGCUCACCUCAUGCACAACUUCCCCCAAACUUGCUCAAACAUGCAUCCAACACUCCAUACCAAACAUAUACUCACAUAUAUGCAUAAAGGGGUCCAAAACUACCUAAAACCCCAACAAAACACACUCAAAACACCAAAUAGCACAUAAUCACCUCAAAACCCUCAAAAACUCAAAACAUGCAACUAACCAUAAAAACUCCUUAAAACCGUCAAAAAUCAUGAAAACAUGUUAGAAAUCUCCAUAAUCCUCUUGUAAACAAAAGGAUAGAAGUUUCUAACGUGAAGAAAUGGAGGAAAUCCUCUCCAAAUCAUCACACCUUCAAAACUCAACCUUUUUAGUUAAAACCCUCAAAACAUGCUUAAAUCUUUGUAAAACUCUCAAAGAUUGGAAAGAACACAUGGAAAAUCACUUAGAGGAGGAAAGGAACGCACCUGAGGCGACUGGGGAUCAGGAAACCUCUCCCUUGACCGACUGAGGGCCCCCUUAAAUAAUGGCUGGCCAAACCUCCUUCGGCAGCCGAACGUGCCUCCUAAUCCAUGCAAAGUUCGGCGGCCGAAACUCAACCUUCGGCGGCCGAACCUGGCAAGUCUCCUCUAUGCACUUUCUUGCCAAACUCAAUUCC
rnacentral:lncRNA from 1 species